rnacentral:piRNA from 1 species
UNGGAACAGACUAUUUCUCUAGAGUGCCUU